CUACUAAGGAGGCUGAGGCACGAGAAUCGCUUGAACCUGGGAGGCGGAGAUUGCAGUGAGCCAAGAUGACACCACUGCACACCAGCCUGGCGACAGAGCAGGAAAAAAAGAAAAAAAAGAAAAGAAAAAGCACCUGGCACCUCAGACAGACUGCGAGGAUGGAAGCAGCAUCAGGUUUCAGUAGGAGCCCCUGCUACCCAGUGGUGGGUUAACACAGACCCACCUGGAUAGAAAGCCACGCACCCAAAGAACAAGAAAGGCUGUGAAAGGCUACCAAUGCUAUGACAUUACUUUCCCUAACAAAUGGACACCUCUCUGGUCCAGGUUAUAGCAAACCCAGCCCCUGCUAUCUCAAAGAGUACUCCAGUUACCUCUUAGGCUGGUCUCCUUUAGCCAGGUGAGAAGAGCUCUGCCUCUCUUCCUGGGCCCAGCCACAGUUUGACAUAGCAUAUCGAAGAAUGGCAUCAGACACAGUCAUGGUACUUCGGCCCUGGACACAGGCUUCUAUCUCAGGCACCGAGAGCUGGCUUUGCAGGAAUAGGUGCAACUGGCUGUCUGACAGGAGAACCACACUCUGCAGGACCCUGGGAAAAACACAGGUAGCACAACACAGAGCAUCACCCUGAGGAACUGCUCUCCAUUCCCCAUCCUCUGAAGAACUUCUGGCUACCUGGGCAGGGAGCUCCAUCCUGCCUGGCACAUUCCUCCACCCCUGCCUCCACCCUUGGUGGCCAGCACCAGCCGUUCUGUCCACUCACUUUUCAAGGAAGUGCUGCAGACCUUGUCGUCGCUUCUCAAUGAACUCAUCUGAGGUGCCGAAGAAGGUUGACUUCCCAGGAAGUUCAGGAACAGGCCUGUGUAGCCACAUGAUAUAACACCCAUGAUAAGUGUAACAUCUAAGAUGGUCAUUCCGGCCUCUGAUCAAGGAAAUCCCUUAAAAAGAGGCCUAAUCAAUACAAAUAGCUUUUUUUUUUUUUUUUUGAGAUGGAGUCUCGCUCUGUCGCCCAGGCUGAAGGGCAGUGGUACAAUCUCGGCUUACUGCAACGUCUGCCUCCCGGGUUCAAGCAGUUCUCUGCCUCAGCCUCCCGAGUAACUGGGAUUACAGGUGCAGGCCACCACACCCAGCUAAUUUUUUGUAUUUUUAAUAGAGACGGGGUUUCACCAUGUUAGCCAGGAUGGUCUUGAUCUGACCUCGUGAUCCCUGCCUGCCUCGGCCUCCCAAAGUGCUGGGAUUACAGGCAUGAGCCACCGUGCCUGGCCCCAAUUAGCUUUUAAUAAGGGGUGGUGCUAACAUUGACUGCAUGCCAAGUGUCAAGCCAGACUGUGCUAAAUGUUUUAUAAACAUGAUUUCAUUUAGUCAUCCCAAAACCCCGUGAGAAAGAUAUUAACUCACUUCAGAUCAGAGAAGUUAAGUAAAUGUCUCACUGUUACACAGCUAGUAAGCAGCAAAGCUCAUAUCGGAACCAGAUCUAUGACUAUAAAACCCAUGCUGAUACA